GAUGAACGCUGGCGGCGUGCCUAAUACAUGCAAGUCGAGCGAACAGACGAGGAGCUUGCUCCUCUGACGUUAGCGGCGGACGGGUGAGUAACACGUGGAUAACCUACCUAUAAGACUGGGAUAACUUCGGGAAACCGGAGCUAAUACCGGAUAAUAUAUUGAACCGCAUGGUUCAAUAGUGAAAGACGGUUUUGCUGUCACUUAUAGAUGGAUCCGCGCCGCAUUAGCUAGUUGGUAAGGUAACGGCUUACCAAGGCAACGAUGCGUAGCCGACCUGAGAGGGUGAUCGGCCACACUGGAACUGAGACACGGUCCAGACUCCUACGGGAGGCAGCAGUAAGGAAUCUUCCGCAAUGGGCGAAAGCCUGACGGAGCAACGCCGCGUGAGUGAUGAAGGUCUUCGGAUCGUAAAACUCUGUUAUUGGGGAAGAACAAAUGUGUAAGUAACUAUGCACGUCUUGACGGUACCUAAUCAGAAAGCCACGGCUAACUACGUG
rnacentral:rRNA from 1 species